rnacentral:rRNA from 1 species
UUGUUGUGGUUAAAAAGCUCGUAGUUGGAUCUCGGCGGACUGAGGGCGGUUUGCUUGCUAGUAUUACUGCCCUAUAGUCCGUAGUUUUGCCAGAGGUUUCGGGGUGCUCUUAAUCGAGUGUCCCGUGAUGCUGGCAGGUUUACUUUGAAAAAAUUAGAGUGCUCAAAGCAGGCUAUUACGCCUGAAUAUUCGUGCAUGGAAUAAUAGAAUAGGAAGUCGUUUCUAUUUUGUUGGUUUUCGGAAAUCGACUUAAUGAUUAAUAGGGACAGUCGGGGGCAUUUGUAUUCAACGACAGAGGUGAAAUUCUUGGACCGUUUGAAGACAACUACUGCGAAAGCAUUUGCCAAGAAUGUUUCAUUAAUCAAGA